ACCUGCAGUGUGAGAGAGAGAAUGAGAGCUUUCAGGCUGUCUUUAUACAUCAAAGAAACUAAAAAAGUACAAAAAAUAAGUUUCUUUUUCUUUUUUAAACAGGGUACCUUUAACUACCUCACCCAGUAGUGGUCCCAACACCACUUCCCAUUUGCCUUUGCCAGACAUGAGAGGUAUGGAAUCUUGCAGGCUGUAUGCUGAAGCUAUCUACGCAUCACCAUGAAUCUUCAACCUGGAAUUAUAUUCUGAAAAUGUUUUAGAUGAGGAAUACAUACAAGUGAAAAACAACAAACCCACACCAUUCCCAAAUCUAUGUGUUCCAUGCCCCCCCGCCUCCCACACCUCUUCACCACAGGAUUAUAAUCAGAUUCGUUUCAUGCAGAAACUGACAUCGACAUGAUUAUCUUCAAAAUAGGCGUUGGCACAUUGACCUCUGUACACAAUGGUGACUACAAUACAGUAUGUGGUACAUACAGUGCCUUCAACUCAGUGUAGAAUUAGUGACCAUACACUGUUAAAUCUCAACAGAGUUUUGGAAAAACCUGUUGUUGUUUUUUUUAUCAGGGCUGCCUGGGUGGAGUAAAACUUCACUGCAACCUCAGCUUUUUGGCCUGUCAGUUGUCUACAACUGAGGAAAAGGGACUCAAGAUCUGCAACUCAGCAGUAGCUCACGCUAGGAGGAGGCUAUUCAAUGUACUGAGUUAUUUCAGCACUGUUCUUGUACUGCUCAUGGCAGGAGUUCUCUACAGUGUUUCUCAAUCUUUUUGAUUCCAGGGACCAGCUUGCUGCCUUCCUAAACUAUGUAAGGGAAAAUCUCAGGGACUGGCACUGGUCUCCGAAGCAUUCCCUGAGAAACACUGCUCUACACUUUCUGAAGAAGCACUCCCUGCCUUCCCGUGAUCGACUGAUGGGUACCCCUCCUUUGUAAUGUAGCCUUUCCCCUAUGUCCCAGAAUAUCACUUUUUUCUGUCAAUUUUCUUUUUCCUGCCCAGUUUUCUCAUUUGUGUUUUUGGAAGGGGUUUUUUGCACUAUUUUAUUGUUCACUCACUCUGCUGUCUAUUCAUUUAGAAGGUUACCCACCCAUCCAGAGUUGCAGGUAUCUAACAGGAGUCUCAAGGUUCCAAAUCACAUUACUCCUGUAGUUUGCUUCAGUGAGAGAAGCAGAGUGUUGCAGGCCUGCACAUUUAAGUUUCUUCAGUGGCCAACCGUAUUAGGGUAUACUGUGGGAGAAGGUGGCUGUCAAGGUGUCACCUCCUGCUUUACCCAUUGCAGGAAUAAAUUUUUGUUGGUGAUCAAUGACACAAAUUUUGAUGUAAUAAAGAGGUCCAUGGCAAUGCAGACAGCUUCUCAACCUCACCAUCUCCCACAUAUGGUUGAAAAACACUGAACUGAAGGACAGAAGGCAGCUUCUCUUACCCUAUGCCCAUAGCCAUCUCUUCCAGGAGGUGGAGGGCUCUUGGGCUUUGCAGUUGGUAAACUUUACCUAUUACCUGAUGGUCAACUGAAAGCAUGCUCUCACAUUACCAUGGUACAAGCCACAGCAGUGCUAGGAAUAUGAAAAGGAACCACUGACCGUGUGUCUUCAUGCAGUUAGCUCAGGUUCUUAUUCAGGUGUGCCCUUGACCCUCCUCCCAUCCACAUAAGAUUGGAAAUUUGACCAAUCCAAAAUUAACUGGUCAAUUGCCCAGUCAAGCUUGGUCAGAUAUCAAAAUUGGUCAAAUAUUUUCAAGCACUAAUUUAUUAGAACAGGAUCAACUGUAACAAAAGGAAUAAGACUUUACGGUCCCCAAUAAGAUUAGCCUCAGAUAGAUAGUUAUACCUCAUUUACAAAAAACAGGUUAUUUAACGGAGUUAUUUUAACUCAGAAAAAUGCAAAACAAUAAAAUUCUAACACACUCCCCCCAAAGAAAAAAAGAAUGGCACCGUGAUGCAAUCAAAAAGAUAGGCUGGCACCUAUAUCAGGACAUUCUUGCUGAAUAUUUGACAGUCAAAUAAUAGGUGGUCAAGUAACCCGACUAUUCAACUGACCACCUUGCCAAGCCUACUUCCACACAGAAAAUCCACUCACUUGAGUCUACCUGUGCUUUCAACUCAGGCUAGCUGGCCUGUCUGGGAGCGUAGAUUAAAGUACAGGUGCCGAUUUAACUCAGGCUGGUAACUGCCUGCCAUAUUGUGCAGUAGUUACAUCGACUAAAUCAUGAGUACUGACAGUUCUCUAAUGUCUUUCUACAAUUUGACUCCCUUCCUCCCAGGUCUUACCAACUAGGCACUCAAGAUAUGACCCCCAAAGUCCUAGAGAAACACAGGUGACAGCAUCAUCAGAGAGAACACAGUAACCUGGGUAUGGCUUUGCGGUGUGGCUGCUCACACCUGGGCAAGGCUAACUUGGAAGCCAAUCUCACGAGUUAACUCUGUAUUGAAAACAUACCCUUAGUAUCAAACCAGCACAAACCACUAGAUAGUCUUGCAGCAGGCAGGGGUAGCACUUAGAUCAAAAGCAUCCCUGCUUUUCCACAUACACAGUACUACCAAAAACGGACAAUCACUGGAAAGAGAAAAGAGCCAGACGAUGUAAUACUGAAAGUGCAAGUCUGUCAAAAUUCUUUCACACCUUAUAUGAAAAAGGAAAUUUCAAAAGCUCCCUACAAAUUAAGUUACAGCCCUAUUAUAUAUAUAAAGAAAUAAAAAUAAUAUAACUGAAAAUGGUGUGCAUACCAUAUUCAUUAAUGUUAUAUAUUUUCUUUCCAUCUGCAGUGAGCCUUGGCAAGGAGUUCAGUAUUCCACAUAUCACACAAGUAUUACUUAAGAUUACUUCCUCUCAAAUUAAUAAUUCAGUUCUACUUACACUAAUUUGAAAUGAAUAAGUUAUUAUAAGAUAUGGUCACUAUGUUGCUACAUUAAAUAGCAAUACAGACUAAUCAAAAUCUUGAGCAAAAUGCAUAGGAAUUCAUAUAUUUUGAGUUCUACAGCUCAUGGUGUAAUACAGCAGAAUAGCUUAACUCCUUUUUGCUAUUAGUCAGUAUUUCAUACCAUUUCUGAAAUUCAUUUGAACAAAGCAGCAUUUAAUGCAAUAUUGCUUCUUCAUAUAAUUGUUCAAACAUCACAGACAUGUGAAGUGCCAUAUUUAAAGUAAAUAAAAAUAUGCUUUUAGUAUACCUGUUUUUUUCACAGCUUUGGCCUGUUCCUGUUCUCUGUAUAAUAAUUAAAAACAUCAAUAUGGAAGUCCAGCACAAGUAGUAAUGUUAGUUUGCUGGAGCCCUAGAGAAGGGUUUACUUAAAUGAAUGUACCACACCCUUUGGCAAAACACCAUUUUACAGAGGUACAUUUAACUGUAUUUCUCAUGGAGGGAACGUUAAGGUUCUGAAAGAAAACCAAACUCACUGUCUAUGUCACACUGCAGUCUUAUCUUCCUCUCCUGCUACUCAUCAUGGUAGGUGGGAAAGAGCUGGCAUUCAGCCAAGAAGAAAAACUCAACAGCAGUUAAUGAUUGUACUAUUACUUUAACAAAUAUAUAGUAUUUCCUAUAAGGUUUAAAACAUUAGAAUUUCUACAUUAGCUAGCUUUUUACAAAACUACAUUAACUUGAAAACAUACUGUUAAACUCUGUAGUCUAUUAGAAAGCAUGGGAUGUAUUUCUCCCACUAUACACAAGUUUUUUUGCAUCCUCAUAUCAAGAAAUGUCUUAGUUUAAGACUAUUCACGUCAGUUUAUAUCUGUGUGUGUAAUUGUCAGAUAGCAAAUAUUUCCCUCUGUAAAUUAGUUAAUGUUUUUACAGGGGUAGGGCUACUUUAAAUGAUAAAAGCUUUUUGUUUAGGUUACAUGUACUGAAAUUAGAGGAAACAGUUGUGUGUAAUUGUAAGAGCCCACGUAACACAUUGCCUUUCAUAUAAAAAUCUAAGCUCCCACUCUUUCCCCAAAACCUGCCCAAAAUGUACAAGGAUGUUCUAGAAGUUGCAUCAUGUUUUAGAAUGAAAACCUGCAAAAAAAGUAUCCAGCUAACCAACAUUGUACUCAAAAGAUACUUGGAGAAACUGGAGUUAACUAUUUUUGUAUUCAAAGAAUAACUACAGUUUUCAUCAUUUGUAACAAAGUGGAAACAUUUUAACUUCCAUUUUAGCUAUGUUUAUAAUUGUUUAUGUGAGGUAUAUAUUAAAGAAGCAAUUAGCACCUUUGUCUAAAUUCAAUGCAUUGAGACAAAUAUUGAAGUUAGAGCCCUAGAGGAACUGCAUUGUCAAAUGCAUUAUUGGAGGGUAAAGGAAAUAUGGAAAGCAAAGACAAAUGAUUUUGAAGGAUGGAAUGAUAAAAAAAAUAGCAAAAUAUUUUAAAAUUUAAAAUGGUCUAUUAGACAAACACUAAUUCUCUGCAGCAUUUCCUGUAAGACGGUAGCUCCACUCUGCUUUUGUUUUCUGAUUUCAUGCAUUCCAAUAUUUGAAUAGGAAAUUUUGAAUAGUAAAAAUAUUUCAGCUGCAUUAAAUUUAUUUCAAUUUUACCAAGUAUUUCCUGGGUCACCAAUAGACUUCACUAAAACCUGUACAUAGGCUUGGACAAGUAAGUAUUUUUUUAGAAUAAGCAAUGAAAGGUAUUUCUAAAGGUAGAGUCAUUCCCACUUCAAUUAGCAAAUCUAGUAGUGCCAUUAAUAUAUUUUCUCACUGCAAACAUAAUAGCUCUGUUACAGACAUAUCCAAAUGCACUUUUGUGUAAGAAUUCUAUUAGCCAUAAGAGGUUGUGCUGUACGAGAUUACAUACAAAGCAGACCAGAAAAAUCAGUACCAAACAGAAUGAGAGGUUCUUGGAUGAAUUUUUAUUUUAAAGGCAUGUGAUAUAAACUGAGAGUCUGAUGUAUUAUAACAUUUUGGAUCAUGGAUGGAUGGAUUUUUUUAUAAUAUGAACUCCACAUGAAGCCCAGUUCUUUGGGGCAGGGACUGUCUAUUUAGACAGCACUACUGCACAACAGGGCUAUGAAUUAGCUGGGCAUCUGGGUGCUAAGACAAUACAAACUAAUGUGAUCAUAAAUAAGAAUUAAGUAGAGCAGACAUGUUCUGGAAGACCGGAUCUCACAUAUAGUUUAGACAUAAGAAGUUUGGUUUGCUAAUUUAUUAGGUGUUCAGUACAAGUUACUGUUAAAUGCUUCCUUUUAAAGGGGCUGGUUUAAUCUACCUUUAAAUACUAUUUGAAUGCAUUUAAGUAUUCAAAACGAUGUACAGAUUGUAGGCAAUAUAGCAAGCAAAUUCUUCUACUGCCUCGAGAAAAAGAAAGGCAUGCCUUGAAGGAUCUUGUGCUGUGAGUGUUUAGGUUUCUGGAUGCAGCUAUUACACGAUCUUUGAAUGAAAGCUCCCCAGGUUGGUGGGUAAGGCCUCCUCCAGGUAUGCCUUCUUGAUGCCACAGAAACAUCUAGAAAGGAAAGGGUCCUCUUGCCAUGUUAGGCUUCUCCAGACCCACCUCUAAGCACACAGACUGACCAGGCCAUACAUACAGCACCAUCAGCCCAUGCCUACCACUUUAGGACUGGUCCCAGGUUACCUGGAGGCGCUAAAUCAACACUCCAAGGUCAAACGCAGCAUCUACGGCCCACCCCGGAGGACAGGGGGGCCCCGGGCCGGCGUCAGACAGGGGCGGGGCAGGAUCGAUGGGGAAGAGGAAGUUCCCCCCGGCAAAUGCAGGACAAAAGCAUGAUGCCAUCCGCUUGCCCCGGACACGCGCCGCGGAGAAAGAAAGAGGAGGCACCCGAGCACACGCCCUCUGUGAGGGAAUGUCAAGAGCGUACCGGGGCGGGGGCUCACACUGCUGCCGGAGAGCGGAAGGGCUGGACACCCCGCUGCAGCGCUGGGGAAUCUGGCGCCGGCCGCUGGAAACGGACCAUCCCCCUCCACUCCCAGCUCCGCCGAAAUAGCGCCCAGGCUCCCCGCGCCGAGUCACAAGGCGCCACCCAUGAUUCUUGAGGAGACACAGCAGCGAGUGGGCCGUGGUACGGGACUCCACUGCGCCCUGCCUCCCUCAGGGGCAGAUCUGCACUGUGAAGGAGCCUGACUACAAGAUCAGCCAUGGACACUACACCCUGGUUGUCACUGCCACAGACCAGUGUCCAAUCCCAGCACGCUGUCUCACAACCACUACAACGGGACUCUGAUAAGCAGAGAGAAUAAAAGGAGCAAAGCACUGAGGAAAGGAGAGUGAGAAGAGGCAGAGUUACCAAGUGAUGGGCAGGUAAGGCUAACUAGCUUUCUCCGCCCCCACCCCCGUGAAGAAUCUGAAUUUGCCAGGAAAUAAAGACGGCAGAGAAGUGAAGAGGGCGAGAGAGGGAGAUGUUGAGGAUCUGGACUGGGACAUGUUGGGGAGUUCACCUGGGACUAGGGGGAAUGGGUGAUACUAUGGCGAUGGACUGUAUAAUAUAGCAGGCUAAGAGCCACCAUUUUUACUGCACUAAAGUGAGAAUUUUACAUCAGCAAGGGCAGAAUGCUGCAAGCAAUGGUCGGGUCAAAGCAGAAGACAGGAGGGGGCAUAGUUUAAGUAUCACAUAGAAAAAUGGAAUCUCUCAAACUAGGUAAGACUGUAAGUCAAUCACAUAUUUCUAGUCAAGCCAUACAUCCCAUUUUAACAACCUGUAGAGGCCCAUAAGCAGUCAUGGUAUGGUCUAUAAUUCAUCAUAUUUCACCUUGAUCAUAAUCUGUAAGCCAUUUGCAUUGAAACGUCCUUACAACUGAAAAGGAUGAAAGAGUGAAGCAUGAGAAAGAUUAUGCUGGGUUCGACACAAAAGCAUUACAGUCAUGCUGUGAGAACAUAUUCAGCAAAUGUGGGGAAGUACUCCAGAGAAAAGGGAAGUGGAUUCUGCAAGAACAAUGAGGCUAUUAUUCAUUAAGGUAGUGGGUAGGAAGGUCUGUAUAGUAUAGUGAAACCUGCCUGGGGUCAUUGCACAAUAUUUAAUAAUGCUGAGUAUUUACAAACAGUAGCCCUUUGCGUGUUCAAAGCACUAUCUCAUGCCUGGACAAUGAUAAACAUCCCUCACAAUGUGAAAUACAAUAUUCUCAAGCACUUUUCACUUCAGCGUCUAAUGAAGAAUGAGCACUAUGUUUGAAUAAAAGAUUAUGGCUGUGAUUUCCCUUGCCAGAAUGAUUCAAAGAUAUGCACAGGGAGCUGUGAAGCAUACUCAGUAGUGGAAUGUUUGUGCAAUGGCAAGCACAUCGCAGCUAAUGCAAAGCAGCUUUAUCUUUAACUCUUAGAGGGGUGGUUCAGACCAUAGUGCCCUCCACGGUCCUGUCGAGACAGGAAAUUAAAAAAAAAAAGUCGAGAUCAUGUAAUUAAUCAAAAGUAACUAAUUAGAGAUACAGGAAUUAAUAGGAAAACAAGCUAAGUUGUCAUCACAAAAAUUCACUAGAACACACUACGGAAGAAUAGGAGAGAAAAAUCUUCCUUCUAUAAUCAGCAAACAUCAAAAGGGAAAAAAUUAGGAUAUUUUGCAUGUGUUUUUCCAGCAGUGCUGAGGACUUACAGCUUCCUUUGGCUUCAUAUGCAGUUUCAGUGUUCAGCAUUUCUGAAAUCAGGUCCAAAUUGACUUGGGUUGGGCACUCAAAACUGAAGCACUAGAAAUCAGUGGCCACUUUAAAAAAAUUGGCCCACAUCUUUCACAAGAAAUAAUUUUUAUGGCUGUUCAAACCUUACGAUCUAUUUUGAGUCAUGAAAGACCUUAGGGAUAAGAUGAAUGAGGUGGAGAGACAAAAUGAAAGUACUACACCCUACAUUUUCCAAAAUGGCUUCUUAUUUUAGAGGCCCAGCUAGAGUCACAUGGUGCCUGAUUUUUAAAAGUGCUCCUCUGAAAACGAGGCCAAAGUUGACUUAAACUGAGCACCAAAAAUUGAGCACUGAGUGGUCACUUGAAAAUAUUGGCUUUGGAAGCUGCCUCUUCUGCCAUUUGUUUAGGAUAGGUCUCUGAUCAACCAUUUCAAUACAAUUGCUGGCAGAGACUGCGCAGGGAACCCAAAGCAGGUAAAUCUAUUUCCCAUAUAAUUAAUUCUCUUUGGUGUUUGAGUUCAGUAGACUGAGUUCAGAGAAAUUUUUCAUGGGCAACUGCUGUGCAAGCCUCCUCACACUGCAGGGUAAUGUACUUCAUUCCUAACCCCGAGGACCACCCUUACAAGCAAAGUGACAGCUCAGUCUCCAUGUCCCACUCAGUCCUUAGCAUCUCUGCUGGGACUGCCAGAGGUGCUGAUUGUGGUGGCUGUUUUGUUUUUGUUUGUUUUAAGAAAUGUGGAUACUUUCCUAUUUGGAAAUGGAUGGAAACCACUCGUCUCGUUGCAACAGUGAUGACUAAUCGGGAUUUGCAGAAGUUGCUUAUGGCAGAUUUCCAUCUCUUUUUUCAUGAUCAUUUAACACAGUGGGUACGCAGAGACUGGUUUUUGUUCUCUGGGGACAAACUUACAUUUUAACACAGAAAUGCUGUAACUUUGGUUUCUCGAU